UUGACCUCGGAUCAGGUAGGGAUACCCGCUGAACUUAAGCAUAUCAAUAAGCGGAGGAAAAGAAACCAACCGGGAUUGCCUCAGUAACGGCGAGUGAAGCGGCAAGAGCUCAAAUUUGAAAGCUGGCUCCUUCGGGGUCCGCAUUGUAAUUUGCAGAGGAUGCUUCGGGUGCAGCCCCCGUCUAAGUGCCCUGGAACGGGCCGUCAU
rnacentral:rRNA from 1 species